CCUACGGGAGGCAGCAGUGGGGAAUAUUGGGCAAUGGAGGAAACUCUGACCCAGCGACGCCGCGUGCGGGAUGAAGGCCUUCGGGUUGUAAACCGCUUUCAGUAGGGAAGAAGCGAAAGUGACGGUACCUACAAAAGAAGCACCGGCUAACUAUGUGCCAGCAGCCGCGGUAAUACAUAGGGUGCAAGCGUUGUCCGGAAUUAUUGGGCGUAAAGAGCUCGUAGGUCGUUUGUUACGUCGGAUGUGAAAACCUGAGGCUCAACCUCAGGCCUGCAUUCGAUACGGGCAAACUAGAGUUUGGUAGGGGAGACUGGAAUUCCUGGUGUAGCGGUGGAAUGCGCAGAUAUCAGGAGGAACACCAAUGGCGAAGGCAGGUCUCUGGGCCAAUACUGACACUGAGGAGCGAAAGUCUGGGGAGCGAACAGGAUUAGAUACCCUGGUAGUCCAGACCGUAAACGGUGGGCACUAGUUGUGGGAACCUUCCACGGUUUCUGCGACGCAGCUAACGCAUUAAGUGCCCCGCUGGGGAGUCGAUCGCAAGAUUAAAACUUAAGAUAGUAGCGNGNGAGNGCGACGACGACGACGAGGAGGAG
rnacentral:rRNA from 1 species